GGAAGGUAUAGGCAUUUUGUUAGUCUUCCAUUUCUGAGGACAGUCGGGAUCGUGGAGGGAUGAAAGGAUAAUAAGCUCUACCAAAAAUGGUGGAUGUUUUAAGGGUCUUGUCUCCUCCAUCUCAUCCGAGAUGAAGCAAGGUAAGAGGAUGAGAAGGAUUCUUGUAAAAGGAGGUUUGAAGAAAGAGGAAGUGGGGCAGGG
rnacentral:lncRNA from 1 species